CCUACGGGUGGCUGCAGUAGGGAAUUUUGCGCAAUGGGCGAAAGCCUGACGCAGCAACGCCGCGUGAUCGAGACGCCCUUCGGGGUGUAAAGAUCUGUCAGUGGGGACGAAACUUGACGGUACCUGACGAAUAAGCCACGGCUAACUACGUGCCAGCAGCCGCGGUAAUACGUAGGUGGCAAGCGUUAUCCGGAUUUACUGGGUGUAAAGGGCGUGUAGGCGGGACUGCAAGUCAGAUGUGAAAACCACGGGCUCAACCUGUGGCCUGCAUUUGAAACUGUAGUUCUUGAGUACUGGAGAGGCAGACGGAAUUCCUAGUGUAGCGGUGAAAUGCGUAGAUAUUAGGAGGAACACCAGUGGCGAAGGCGGUCUGCUGGACAGCAACUGACGCUGAGGCGCGAAAGCGUGGGGAGCAAACAGGAUUAGAUACCCCUGUAGUC
rnacentral:rRNA from 1 species